CAGGAGGCACAGGAAAUGACUGCCCGGGCGUCUCUCACCCAAGUCCCAACAGGACACUCCGUGGGAAACUUUUGUGGGUAUCAGCCAGCUUCCUCUACCAAAUGAGAAAGCUGCCUGCCCUCAGCACCCCAGUUCCUGCAGAGGCCAGGCUUCUGCCUCCAUCCACUUCCCAGGAAACCACAAGAGAUGAGGUCAAAUUAACUGCUGAUCUCCAGAAACACCAUGUGCAAGGCAUAGGCUGGUAACUGAUGGAGUGGGCUUUGAGCCACAGUUCCUGACACAGACUCACGUGAGCCUGGAGCAGUGGACAGUGUUUCUCGGCCUUUCCGUCUGCCCUGCGGGAACAGUGACCUGGAGAUGAGCUUCCUUUAUGUGGUGAGAAGGUCAGCAGCUGCAGGCUUACCCAGCCCAGAUGAGGACCUGAUCCAGACCUAAAAUUGCAAGGAAGGGUCUGGAUGGUCUGUCCUGGGUCUCCGCUCUACUCAUGCACCUGUGACCAAGAGGAUGGAAUUGUGAGGCUGAUUUUUAUCAGAAGAAGGUCAGGGGCAGAGCUGCUGGGCCGGCAAUAGCAGCUGAUGUCUUCCAAAGAGAAAGAAUAAUCAUCGUGGAUUCCAAAAU